UACGUAGGGUGCAAGCGUUAAUCGGAAUUACUGGGCGUAAAGCGUGCGCAGGCGGUUAUGCAAGACAGAUGUGAAAUCCCCGGGCUUAACCUGGGAACUGCAUUUGUGACUGCAUAGCUGGAGUACGGCAGAGGGGGAUGGAAUUCCGCGUGUAGCAGUGAAAUGCGUAGAUAUGCGGAGGAACACCGAUGGCGAAGGCAGUCCACUGGCCCAUUACUGACGCUGAGGCACGAAAGCGUGGGGAGCAAACAGG
rnacentral:rRNA from 1 species